rnacentral:tRNA from 1 species
AUUUAUUUAGUAUAAUAAGUAUACUUGAUUUCCAAUCAAAAGGUCUUAAUUAAGAAUAAAUA